CCGACUCCCCUCUUCCUUCCACCGCGAAGAGAGGAGGGUGAGCUCGGGAGGGGUCGAGCCAUGGCCGGUCGGCUCCCGCGGCCGUCACCCACGGCCGACGCUCGACGCCCGCAUCCUCGGGUGGCCAGCGGCCGAUGCUCGUGCCGGCGGCGCUCGCGGCCAAAGCUGAUGGCCGCUACACGCGACGACGGACCGGUGAGUCCCCAUUCCCCCUCCCCCUUUUUUUCCUCUUCUCCUCUCUUCUCCCUUCUUCUGAUCCCUCAUCUCCUUCCCCUUUUCUUCUCUUGCGACGGGAGGAAGGUGAACUCGGGAGGGACCGAGCCUCGGCCAGGGGCACCUGCGGCUGACGCCUGUGGCCGAUUCCAUGGUGUCCUCGACCGAGUCCGCGGGAGGGGAGGAAGGGCCUCCAGCCAUCGAUGUCUGCGACCACGACUGUGGCCAAGCUCACCGCGUCAGAUCUGCGGCUAAGAACAC
rnacentral:lncRNA from 1 species